GAUGAACGCUGGCGGCGUGCCUAAUACGUGCAAGUCGAGCGAACAGACGAGGAGCUUGCUCCUCUGACGUUAGCGGCGGACGGGUGAGUAACACGUGGAUAACCUACCUAUAAGACUGGGAUAACUUCGGGAAACCGGAGCUAAUACCGGAUAACAUGUUGAACCGCAUGGUUCAACAGUGAAAGACGGUCUUGCUGUCACUUAUAGAUGGAUCCGCGCCGCAUUAGCUAGUUGGUAAGGUAACGGCUUACCAAGGCAACGAUGCGUAGCCGACCUGAGAGGGUGAUCGGCCACACUGGAACUGAGACACGGUCCAGACUCCUACGGGAGGCAGCAGUAGGGAAUCUUCCGCAAUGGGCGAAAUCCUGACGGAGCAACGCCGCGUGAGUGAAGAAGGUCUUCGGAUCGUAAAACUCUGUUAUUAGGGAAGAACAAAUGUGUAAGUAACUAUGCACGUCUUGACGGUACCUAAUCAGAAAGCCACGGCUAACUACGUG
rnacentral:rRNA from 1 species